AACGAACGCUGGCGGCGUGCCUAACACAUGCAAGUCGAGCGAGAAGUCCCUUCGGGGGCGAGUAAAGCGGCGGACGGGUGAGUAAUACAUGGAUAAUCUUCCCUCGAGCCUGGGAUAACCCUGCGAAAGUGGGGCUAAUACCGGAUAAGACCACAUGACACAUGUCACGGGGUAGAAGGUGGCUUGUAUUUAUAUGAGCUAUCACUUGAGGAUGAGUCCAUGGCCUAUCAGCUAGUUGGUGAGGUAAGAGCUUACCAAGGCUAUGACGGGUAGCUGGUCUGAGAGGACGACUAGCCACACUGGGACUGAGACACGGCCCAGACUCCUACGGGAGGCAGCAGUGGGGAAUAUUGGGCAAUGGGCGAAAGCCUGACCCAGCGACGCCGCGUGGGUGAUGAAGGCCUUCGGGUUGUAAAACCCUUUCGUGCGGAAAGAAUAGUCUCGUAGCGAAUAACUAUGGGAUUUGACGGUACCGCAGGAAGAAGCACCGGCUAACUCCGUG
rnacentral:rRNA from 1 species